rnacentral:rRNA from 1 species
CCUACGGGAGGCAGCAGUAGGGAAUUUUCGUCAAUGGGCGCAAGCCUGAUCGAGCAAUGCCGCGUGAACGAGGAAGGUCUUCGGAUCGUAAAGCUCUGUUGAAGGGGAAAAAGAUCGGAUAGAGGAAAUGCUUUCUGAUUGAUGUUACCCUUCGAGGAAGUCACGGCUAACUACGUGCCAGCAGCCGCGGUAAUACGUAGGUGGCAAGCGUUAUCCGGAUUGAUUGGGCGUAAAGGGUGCGUAGGCGGCCUGCUAAGUCUGGAGUGAAAGGGACCGGCUCAACCGGUACAGGCUUUGGAAACUGGCGGGCUAGGGAGCAGGAGAGGGCGAUGGAAAUCCAUGUGUAGCGGUAAAAUGCGU